rnacentral:rRNA from 1 species
UCAAGCGUUUAAGGGCGUGUAGUGGAUGCCUUGGCACUGAAAGCCGAUGAAGGACGUGAUAUACUGCGAUAAGUUUCGGGGAGCUGUAUGUAAGUUUUGAUCCGAAAAUUUCCGAAUGGGGAAACCCACCACUUUAUGUGGUACUUUAAACUGAAUACAUAGGUUUAAAGAGACAACCUGGAGAACUGAAACAUCUAAGUAACCAGAGGAAAAGAAAUCAAUUGAGAUUCCGUUAGUAGUGGCGAGCGAACGCGGACUAGGCCAGUAGUUUUGUUAAAAAAAUUUGAAUAGUUUGGAAAUGCUAACCAUAGAGGGUGAUAGUCCCGUAUGAGUAAUGUUUAACAAAAUUCUUGAGUAAAGCGGGACACGUGAAAUCCUGCUCGAAUAUAGGGGGACCACCCUCUAAGCCUAAAUACUCUUCAGUGACCGAUAGUGAACUAGUACCGUGAGGGAAAGGUGAAAAGAACCCCUAUUAGGGGAGUGAAAUAGAACCUGAAACUGCAUGCCUACAAUCAGUCGAAGCUCUUUUUAGAGUGACGGCGUACCUUUUGUAUAAUGGGUCAGUGACUUAAUUUAUUAAGCAAGCUUAAGCCAUCUAGGUGUAGGCGCAGCGAAAGCAAGUCUUAAUAGGGCGAUUAGUUUAAUGAAUUAGACCCGAAAACGAAUGAGCUUACCAUGAGCAGGUUGAAAGUUGGGUAACACCAACCGGAGGACCGAACCAGUUGACGUUGAAAAGUCUUUGGAUGACUUGUGGUAAGGGGUGAAAGGCCAACCAAAUUCGUAGAUAGCUGGUUUUCCGCGAAAACUAUUUAGGUAGUGCGUUGAAUAAAUAGAUGUUUAGAGGUAGAGCACUAAAUGGGCUAGGGGGAAGAGAUUCUUACCAAACCUAAUAAAACUCCGAAUGCUAGACAUUGUUCUUCAACAGACAGACUGUGGGUGCUAAGGUCCAUGGUCGAGAGGGAAAGAGCCCAGACCACCAGAUAAGGUCCCAAAAUUAUGAUUAAGUGUGAAAGGAUGUGGAAAUUCCUUAACAGCCGGGAGGUUGGCUUAGAAGCAGCCAUCCUUUAAAGAUAGCGUAACAGCUCACCGGUCUAAUAGAGUUUCUGCGCCGAAGAUGUAACGGGGCUAAAAUCAUAUACCGAAUCUGUGGGUUUAUAAAACUUUCGAGUUUUAUAAGCGGUAGCGGAACGUUCUGUAAGCCUGUGAAGGGAUACCCGUGAGGGAUCCUGGAGGUAUCAGAAGUGCGAAUGCUGACAUAAGUAACGAUAAAAGAAGUGAAAAACUUCUUCGCCGAAAAUCCAAGGGUUUCUGCGCAAGGUUAAUCCGCGCAGAGUUAGUCGGCACCUAAGGCGAGGGCGAAAGCCGUAGUCGAUGGAAAUAAGGUUAAUAUUCCUUAACCAGAUGGUAGUGACGGAUCUUGUAAGUUGUGUACUCUUAAUGGAUUGAGUAUGCCGCGAAAAGGUUCCAAGAAAUAGCUCCAUCAUUAGACCGUACCCUAAACCGACACAGGUGGAUUAAUAGAGUAUAUUUAGGCGCUUGAGAGAAUGAUGUUGAAGGAACUCGGCAAAAUGCUUCCGUAACUUCGGGAUAAGGAAGACCCUUUUGUAGGCAACUAUAGAAGGGUGGCACAAGCCAGGGAGAAGCGACUGUUUAUCAAAAACACAGGGCUCUGCUAACACGUAAGUGGAUGUAUAGGGUCUGACGCCUGCCCGGUGCUGGAAGGUUAAUGCGGUUGGUGCAAGCUAACUUCUGAAGCCCCAGUAAACGGCGGCCGUAACUAUAACGGUCCUAAGGUAGCGAAAUUCCUUGUCGGGUAAGUUCCGACCUGCACGAAUGGUGUAACGAUUUG